UGAGUAACGCGUGGAUAACCUGCCUUGAGGCUGGGGAUAGCCGUUAGAAAUAGCGGGUAAUACCGAAUAAGUCUGAGCGCUGAUGAGCGGUCAGGGAAAGGAGCUAAGGCUCCGCCUUAAGAGGGGUCCGCGUCCCAUUAGCUAGUUGGCGGUGUAAAGGACUACCAAGGCGAAGAUGGGUAGCCGGCCUGAGAGGGUGAACGGCCACACUGGGACUGAGAUACGGCCCAGACUCCUACGGGAGGCAGCAGCUAAGAAUAUUCCGCAAUGGACGAAAGUCUGACGGAGCGACGCCGCGUGGAUGAGGAAGGCCGAAAGGUUGUAAAAUUCUUUUGCGGAUGAAGAAUAAUCGGUGGAGGGAAUGCCAUCGAGAUGACGCUAGUCCGUGAAUAAGCCCCGGCUAAUUACGUGCCAGCAGCCGCGGUAACACGUAAGGGGCGAGCGUUGUUCGGAAUUAUUGGGCGUAAAGGGCGCGUAGGCGGUUAAUCAAGUCUGACGUGAAAUACAUGAGCUUAACUCAUGAACUGCGUUGGAAACUGGCUGACUAGAGUCACGGAGGGGGAAUCGGAAUUCCUGGUGUAGGGGUGAAAUCUGUAGAUAUCAGGAAGAACACCGGUGGCGAAGGCGGAUUUCCAGCCGAUGACAGACGCUGAGGCGCGAAAGUGCGGGGAGCAAACAGGAUUAGAUACCCUGGUAGUCCGCACUAUAAACGAUGCACACUAGGUGUCGGGUCGAGCGAUUCGGCGCCGGAGCGAACGCGAUAAGUGUGCCGCCUGGGGAGUAUGCCCGCAAGGGUGAAACUCAAAGGAAUU
rnacentral:rRNA from 1 species